rnacentral:tRNA from 1 species
GACUGCGUAGCUCAGUUGGCAGAGCAUUGGGCUAGUAUUCCAAAAGUCGUAGGUUCGAUUCCCACUGUGGCCA